ensembl:antisense Gm15416 predicted gene 15416
AUGGAGGGUGGCAGCUAUGGCCAGAGCCACGCAAGAAGAGUUCAUCCCUCUCUCUGGGAAGAAGGGAAGCCGAGGAGAUGGGGAAGAUCUCCCAGGAACUCCCUGAGGUUGGUAGAACCAGAGUCUUCUAGAUGGGAGUGUGGAAUUUACUAUGGUUGUUGUAAUGCAAGUUUACACAGUAGAAAACUGAAAGCUAAUUUUAUGCCUGAGAUAAAGACUUGAUUAACUUUCAUGGACAAACUACCUUAUUUCAUAAUUGAGGAGAAUAAGGCUCAGAGACACCUAGUACCUUGCCUACGGAAGCAUGGGGAGUUAAAGCCAGGGUUGGAAUUAACAUGGGUUUUCACCCUGAAUUAACAAAUAUUCCGUAAGACUAACCCCCCCCCCCCAUCUCUUGGGCUUUGACUACCCAAAACUUGAAAAAACCUGCAAAGCAGAGGCA